rnacentral:rRNA from 1 species
GGCGUGCUUAACACAUGCAAGUCGAACGAGAACGGAACUAGCUUGCUAGUUUGUCAGCUAAGUGGCGCACGGGUGAGUAAUAUAUAGUUAACCUGCCUUCAAGAAGGGAAUAAUUGUUGGAAACGACUUGUAAGACCCUAUAUGCCUUUAUCACAUAAGUGAGCAAGGGAAAUAUUUAUAGCUUGAAGAUGGGACUGUACGGUAUCAGAUUGUUGGUGAGGUAAUGGCUCACCAAGUCUAUGACGCCUAACUGGUUUGAGAGGAUGAUCAGUCACACUGGAACUGAGACACGGUCCAGACUCCUACGGGAGGCAGCAGUGGGGAAUAUUGCACAAUGGACGAAAGUCUGAUGCAGCAACGCCGCGUGGAGGAUGACACAUUUCGGUGCGUAAACUCCUUUUAUAUAAGAAGAUAAUGACGGUAUUAUAUGAAUAAGCACCGGCUAACUCCGUGCCAGCAGCCGCGGUAAUACGGGGGGUGCAAGCGUUACUCGGAAUCACUGGGCGUAAAGAGCGUGUAGGCGGGUAUUUAAGUUGGAAGUGAAAUCCUAUGGCUUAACCAUAGAACUGCUUCCAAAACUGAAUACCUAGAGUAUGGGAGAGGUAGAUGGAAUUUCUGGUGUAAGGGUAAAAUCCGUAGAGAUCAGAAGGAAUACCGAUUGCGAAGGCGAUCUACUGGAACAUUACUGACGCUAAGAUGCGAAAGCGUGUGGAGCAAACA